UGGGGAAUUUUGGACAAUGGGCGAAAGCCUGAUCCAGCAAUGCCGCGUGUGUGAAGAAGGCCUUCGGGUUGUAAAGCACUUUUGUCCGGAAAGAAAUCCUUGGCUCUAAUACAGUCGGGGGAUGACGGUACCGGAAGAAUAAGCACCGGCUAACUACGUGCCAGCAGCCGCGGUAAUACGUAGGGUGCAAGCGUUAAUCGGAAUUACUGGGCGUAAAGCGUGCGCAGGCGGUUUGCUAAGACCGAUGUGAAAUCCCCGGGCUCAACCUGGGAACUGCAUUGGUGACUGGCAGGCUAGAGUAUGGCAGAGGGGGGUAGAAUUCCACGUGUAGCAGUGAAAUGCGUAGAGAUGUGGAGGAAUACCGAUGGCGAAGGCAGCCCCCUGGCAAGUACUGACGCUCAUGCACGAAAGCGUGGGGAGCAAACAGGAUUAGAUACCCUGGUAGUCCACGCCCUAAAACGAUGUCAACUAGUUGUUGGGGGAUUCAUUUUCCUUAGUAACGUAGCUAACGCGUGAAGUUGACCGCCUGGGGAGUACGGUCGCAAGAUUAAAAACUCAAAUGAAUUGAC
rnacentral:rRNA from 1 species